rnacentral:rRNA from 1 species
AGAGUUUGAUCAUGGCUCAGGAUGAACGCUGGCGGCGUGCCUAAUACAUGCAAGUCGAGCGAAUGGAUUAAGAGCUUGCUCUUAUGAAGUUAGCGGCGGACGGGUGAGUAACACGUGGGUAACCUGCCCAUAAGACUGGGAUAACUCCGGGAAACCGGGGCUAAUACCGGAUAACAUUUUGAACCGCAUGGUUCGAAAUUGAAAGGCGGCUUCGGCUGUCACUUAUGGAUGGACCCGCGUCGCAUUAGCUAGUUGGUGAGGUAACGGCUCACCAAGGCAACGAUGCGUAGCCGACCUGAGAGGGUGAUCGGCCACACUGGGACUGAGACACGGCCCAGACUCCUACGGGAGGCAGCAGUAGGGAAUCUUCCGCAAUGGACGAAAGUCUGACGGAGCAACGCCGCGUGAGUGAUGAAGGCUUUCGGGUCGUAAAACUCUGUUGUUAGGGAAGAACAAGUGCUAGUUGAAUAAGCUGGCACCUUGACGGUACCUAACCAAAAAG